rnacentral:rRNA from 1 species
AGAGUUUGAUCAUGGCUCAGGACGAACGCUGGCGGCGUGCCUAAUACAUGCAAGUCGAGCGGACAGAAGGGAGCUUGCUCCCGGAUGUUAGCGGCGGACGGGUGAGUAACACGUGGGUAACCUGCCUGUAAGACUGGGAUAACUCCGGGAAACCGGAGCUAAUACCGGAUAGUUCCUUGAACCGCAUGGUUCAAGGAUGAAAGACGGUUUCGGCUGUCACUUACAGAUGGACCCGCGGCGCAUUAGCUAGUUGGUGGGGUAAUGGCUCACCAAGGCGACGAUGCGUAGCCGACCUGAGAGGGUGAUCGGCCACACUGGGACUGAGACACGGCCCAGACUCCUACGGGAGGCAGCAGUAGGGAAUCUUCCGCAAUGGACGAAAGUCUGACGGAGCAACGCCGCGUGAGUGAUGAAGGUUUUCGGAUCGUAAAGCUCUGUUGUUAGGGAAGAACAAGUGCGAGAGUAACUGCUCGCACCUUGACGGUACCUAACCAGAAAGCCACGGCUAACUACGUGCCAGCAGCCGCGGUAAUACGUAGGUGGCAAGCGUUGUCCGGAAUUAUUGGGCGUAAAGGGCUCGCAGGCGGUUUCUUAAGUCUGAUGUGAAAGCCCCCGGCUCAACCGGGGAGGGUCAUUGGAAACUGGGAAACUUGAGUGCAGAAGAGGAGAGUGGAAUUCCACGUGUAGCGGUGAAAUGCGUAGAGAUGUGGAGGAACACCAGUGGCGAAGGCGACUCUCUGGUCUGUAACUGACGCUGAGGAGCGAAAGCGUGGGGAGCGAACAGGAUUAGAUACCCUGGUAGUCCACGCCGUAAACGAUGAGUGCUAAGUGUUAGGGGGUUUCCGCCCCUUAGUGCUGCAGCUAACGCAUUAAGCACUCCGCCUGGGGAGUA